GGGGGCGUUUUUGGGAUUCGACGGGGAUAGUUCGAGCGUUAGUAGCGAGCCGAGGGGCUGCGCUUCUCGUUAAACACGCAGAGCCAAAAUGUAACUGGCAAACAAGAAAACUACGCUCUAGCUGCCUAAUAAAUCAGCUAGGACUCACUUCUCCAUCGCCUAUGUGGAGCUGCUGGGUCUCAAAUUCUAGUAGGCUAGCCGACUAGUCCGCCACAGACUAGAAGGCGAAAUAUUUGUGGCUGGCCUGAGAAAUCGCCUGUCACUGGGCAGUUUCGAGGGUGAGAUUUGAAUACAGUGACUGCGCUCGGAGAAUCUGGCGUGGCGAUAUCUUCGGACAGCGGUUCGACUCCGCUCGCCUCCACCA
rnacentral:tmRNA from 1 species